CUCCUAACCCUAGCUAUCUCCCUCUUCAUCUGAAUCUCUCAAGCUUUCUCAAAUUCUCAGUUCUCACGCCUAUGAAACUCUCAUUUCCUCAUCUGAUAUUUUCAUUUAGUCUUAAAAUUUCAGAUUUUUUUUUUGGAAGGUCUAAUUCUUUUGUUCAUUUAUUCCGAAUUGAUUAAUUUCUGUUUUUUUUUAAGAUCUGUCAUAUACUCAUAUUCUACUCACGGCAAUAUAAGAUCUUUUUUCUGGAUAUUCUCAAACUUCGAAUUUUUCUGAUCUUUCAUAUUCUCUACUCACGGACGAUAUAAGGUAUUUGUAUUUUUCAUUCUCAUUCUAAGUUCCUAUUAUUUUUUCUAAGUUCUGUUUUUUCAUUUAUUAUUUUGUAA